UACGGGGGGAGCAAGCGUUGUUCGGAUUUACUGGGCGUAAAGGGCGCGUAGGCGGUCAGCACAAGUCAGUUGUGAAAUCUCCGGGCUUAACUCGGAAAGGUCAGCUGAUACUGUGCGACUAGAGUGCGGAAGGGGCAACUGGAAUUCUUGGUGUAGCGGUGAAAUGCGUAGAUAUCAGGAGGAACACCAGUGGCGAAGGCGGUGCUCUGGGCCGGAACUGACGCUGAGGAGCGAAAGCGUGGGGAGCAAACAGG
rnacentral:rRNA from 1 species